UACGUAGGUGGCAAGCGUUGUCCGGAAUUAUUGGGCGUAAAGCGCGCGCAGGCGGUCGUGCAAGUCGCGUGUGAAAGCCCCCGGCUCAACUGGGGAGGGUCACGCGAUACUGCUCGACUUGAAGGCAGGAGAGGGAAGUGGAAUUCCCGGUGUAGUGGUGAAAUGCGUAGAUAUCGGGAGGAACACCAGUGGCGAAGGCGACUUCCUGGCCUGUUCUUGACGCUGAGGCGCGAAAGCUAGGGUAGCAAACGGG
rnacentral:rRNA from 1 species